ensembl:antisense 1700099I09Rik RIKEN cDNA 1700099I09 gene
GUAGCAACUGAGACUAGCAGAAAGGAGGAAGAAAACUGCCUUAUCUCCACGGUGAAGUCCUCAUCGUUUGUAUCGUCCUCCUCCUCCGUCUCCAUGUGAUGAUACUUCUCUGACCGAGCUGCGGAGGAAGGGUUGGGAACAGUCUGGGUUACUCAGAGAGCUUCUGUAUUUAACAGUGACAACUACCCUCUGAGGACCUGGAGCAGAACAACAGGGAGCUUUCUAGAAUUUGUAGUUGGGGAAUAAAUUCCGCCUUCUGUCUCAGCAAACUGUUCCAGUCUAAGGAGCGGAAGAAACGAUGCUGCUUCACUUCAUAGGCUCCACCUGGACGGGGAGAGGAGCGAGGCUGAGAGGCUGAACCACCCUCUGUACAGGAAGCACCACGCUUACAAACAGUUCACGAUAUUUGUUAGCAGAGAAAUGAAGAAGUGGUGGAGUCCACACUACCUCCCCCCCCCCCCCCCCCCCCCACCUUCUACAACCAAAACUUGAAAAAAAAAAUUUCUAGACUUUAUCAGCAGGAAAUCAGAUUUUGCUAACAGCGGUUGCUAUAGCACAGAUUUUUCUCAGUUAAUUUUUCUACGACUUCUUCCAUUUUUCAAAGGUUAAUGACAGGGCCACUUAAAAUCACAUUAUACUGAACCUGGGGACAUGGACGCGCGUUGGCCCAAAAGCAGACUUGCUCAUUACAAACCCUGAAGAUCCUAACAAGGUGCAAAAUGUGCUUACAGCAAGAUUUCUUCUGGAGGGAAGGUUAAUAAUGAUGGAUUUUU